rnacentral:rRNA from 1 species
ACUCCUACGGGAGGCAGCAGUGGGGGAUAUUGCACAAUGGAGGAAACUCUGAUGCAGCGACGCCGCGUGAGGGAAGAAGGUCUUCGGAUUGUAAACCUCUGUCUUUGGGGACGAAGAAAGUGACGGUACCCAAAGAGGAAGCCACGGCUAACUACGUGCCAGCAGCCGCGGUAAU